AUCAGCCUUUUGGGCAUGAUUCUGUGGAGCGUGAGGAGUUAAACGCCUUCAUGCCUGCAUAUUCGUGUACUUUGGGCGUACUUGCCUGUGUGGUUAGUUAACAUCAAUUUUGGUUAUCAUAAAAUGGUUGGAGGAAUGUAGCUUCGAUUUCGAUUGAAGUGUUAUAGCCUUCGGCAGAUGUGAUGAUCGGGAUUGAGGAUUGCAACGGAUACCCUUCGGGGCUACCUGUCUGGUCUCUGAUCGUUGCUUUGGUGCCGAAAGCGUGCUUACGGUUAUCAAGGUCGAUGGUUAAUAGGUUAGAACGGGUUAAAUUCGUUAAGGAUGUUGACGUAAUGGCUUU
rnacentral:rRNA from 1 species